rnacentral:misc_RNA from 1 species
UUUCCGUAGGUGAACCUGCGGAAGGAUCAUUAUCGUACAAAAUGUGAGGGGCAUGCGAGGGCUGUCGCUGACCCAAAAGUCGUGCACGCCCGAGUGUGUCCUCUUGCAUAAUAAUCCAUCUCACCCUUUGUGCAGCACCGCGUGGGCACCCUUCGGGAUCACCUCGGAGGGGGGCUCGCAUUUUCACACAAACCCCCCUUUUAAAAGUGUAGAAUGACCACAUUUAUGCAAUCAAUACAACUUUCAACAACGGAUCUCUUGGCUCUC